rnacentral:rRNA from 1 species
AGCAGCCGCGGUAAUUCCAGCUCCAAUAGCGUAUAUUAAAGUUGCUGCAGUUAAAAAGCUCGUAGUUGAAUUUCGGGAUCAAUAUGUUGGUCGUGCCUUGGUACGUACUAGCUCAUUGGUUUCUCCCUUCUGACGAACCAUGAUGUCAUUAAUUUGAUGUCAUGGGGAAUCAGGACUGUUACUUUGAAAAAAUUAGAGUGUUUAAAGCAGGCUCGCGCUUGAAUACAUUAGCAUGGAAUAAUGAAAUAGGACAUUUGAUUCUAUUUUGUUGGUUUCUAGGAUCGAUGUAAUGAUUAAUAGGGAUAGUUGGGGGCAUUAGUAUUCAAUUGUCAGAGGUGAAAUUCUUGGAUUUAUUGAAGACUAACUACUGCGAAAGCAUUUGCCAAGGAUGUUUUCA